CACAACUGUGGGGCAGAGCCAGAAAGCCCAGGGUCCCCUCACAGUGGGGGAAUAAGGAUGUGGAUCAUCCAGCAGUGAAUGAAUUUUCUUCCUAAGCUAAAAGUUGCAGCUUUCAGAAAACUACCCAGUGUCUCCAGCAUCUCUCUCAUGGCUGCUAUCAGCACUGUAAAAGCAGCACUGCAUACACAUAGAUCCACACCCUCAGGUCUCCUCAGGAUAAAUGGAGAUAUGCCAUGAACUCAGUAGACUUAGAAUCAGGCUCACAACUCAGGAGUUAGGAGCACUGAAAUCAGUCAAAUUCAAUUCUGGUUAAGGAUCCAGCUCUCACCUCUGAGACUUGCUUGGGAUACCUCUCUGUCCAGGCAGGCAGCCAUGGAAAAGUUUCUGCCCUGGGUGCUGCUGCAAAAUUACUUUGGACUGUUCAUACAAGACUCAAAGAUCACCAUGGACACAUGGACCUCAACCCUGGACCCCACGACCCUGAUAUCCCAUGGAUAUGUAUGGAUUAUACUAUGUGCAUUAAUGCCACAGACGCCUGGCACAGAAUAAAGAGUUUGAACUCCUUUGCAUAAAAUCAGACAGAAAGGAA